CAUAUGUUAAUUAGCAUAUGUUACUCAACAUAGUCCACAAAUACAUUAACAUGCAUAUGUUCCAACCUGCAUAAUAUAGCCUAUGCAUUCAUACAACACCAUUUUCAUGCAUCUCUCUAACAUUUAGUUCAUGCAUCUCUCUAACAUUUAGUUCAUGCAUCUCUCUAACAUUUGUUAUAUUAAUUUGCCAUUGUCCACUAGCAUGCAUUAUAUUCAUAUGCAAUUAUCAUGUAACGUACAUUUCUCACAUUAUAUGCAUUUACCCAAUCUUCACAUCGCAUGCAUCAUAUAGCAUUUAACCCAUUAUAUGCAUCAACUAGAAAAUCAUAUUUUUCUUCGACAUGAAGGCGACCUAGUCGCUUCGGUAAGCACAACCCACUUGUUAGUGCAUUCCGAUUGCUUGUCGACACUUGCAAUCGGCCUCCUGCGGCAUCCGGUGCCCGGUUCCGUCGGAACUUGCAAUUGCGCACCAACCGCGCAUCGCUUCGCAGCCUCGGGCAAAAAGGGUCUUCGUUUUGUUGUUACAGUGCCUCAAAUCCGAUUCCAUGAUUUUACGACGUCGCCUCGGCCCUCCAGGCGGAAACGAAGCCUAAACGUCCGUUUCUUUAAUAACUUCGCACCGGCUCGACGAAUCGCCGAACCGACUUCGCCAGCGCGUUCGUUUACCUAGCAAUUAGGUUUACAGAGGGUCAAAUGAGAUCAAAUCCUCAUAUUUACCAAACUAGCAUUUUUGAGUCCUAUCAUGAAAUAACCUCCAAAUAAUCCAAAUUAAAUGGAGCAAUAUGCUAAUAAUGAUCAUUAGAGGCUACUAGAACUCUUAAAGCUAAGGAUUAAGCCAAAUCCCAAAAGCUUACCCCAAUGUGAACGCCGCAACGAAAACACGCCGCUCCAACGGGCGCACGAAAGCUCGAUCCGUCGCCUCCAACGCGUUCGCAAGCUCGAUCUCCACCAACCCUCCAAUUUUUAGAAAGAGAUAUAGAGAGAUGAGAGAGAUAUUUAGAGAAAGAAAGGAGGGUUUCUCUCCCCCUUCCAUGCGUGCGUGUGUGUGUCCAUGGU
rnacentral:lncRNA from 1 species